rnacentral:rRNA from 1 species
AUUGAACGCUGGCGGCAGGCUUAACACAUGCAAGUCGAGCGGGGAAAGGUAGCUUGCUACCUGACCUAGCGGCGGACGGGUGAGUAAUGCUUAGGAAUCUGCCUAUUAGAGGGGGACAACAUUCCGAAAGGAAUGCUAAUACCGCAUACGCCCUACGGGGGAAAGCAGGGGAUCUUCGGACCUUGCGAGAAUAGAUGAGCCUAAGUCAGAUUAGCUAGUUGGUGGGGUAAAGGCCUACCAAGGCGACGAUCUGUAGCGGGUCUGAGAGGAUGAUCCGCCACACUGGGACUGAGACACGGCCCAGACUCCUACGGGAGGCAGCAGUGGGGAAUAUUGGACAAUGGGCGAAAGCCUGAUCCAGCCAUGCCGCGUGUGUGAAGAAGGCCUUUUGGUUGUAAAGCACUUUAAGCGAGGAGGAGGCUACUUGGAUUAAUACUCUAGGAUAGUGGACGUUACUCGCAGAAUAAGCACCGGCUAACUCUGUGCCAGCCGCCGCCGUAAUAC